GCGCUCGUAGCUCAGUUGGAUAGAGUACCUGGCUACGAACCAGGUGGUCGGGAGUUCGAAUCUCUCCGAGCGCA
rfam:Stenotrophomonas terrae strain DSM 18941 contig_27, whole genome shotgun sequence.